rnacentral:lncRNA from 1 species
AAAUAGAGAGGUAGUAGUAAUAGUGGUAUAUAUUGUAGCGUGAUAAAUUCCUGAGUGAUAGUUUUUUUUUUUAAGAGAGAUAGGUAGCACACUACCCGUUUCGUUUAUUUUAUUUAGAAAUAAAUUUAGCUGGAAACAUGAAUUAGCUAGGAUUCGAACUUGAAUCUCGGAUACCAACCAUCAAGCUCUUUGCCACUUGCUCUAAAGACGGUCGGUCCUGAGUAAUAGUUUAAAGUGAAAAAGGAUGAGUGAUAGUUUAAAGUGAAAAAAGAAUGACCGGAUGAUUGAAAUUGAGAUAUUGAAUAUUUAUUUUUUUCAGUAUUU